rnacentral:rRNA from 1 species
ACACGACUACAUUAGAUACCCGUGUAGUCCUAGCCGUAAACGAUACUCGCUAGGUAUCGGCCACGGUGCGACCGUUGUCGGUGCCGUAGGGAAGCCGUGAAGCGAGCCACCUGGGAAGUACGGCCGCAAGGCUGAAACUUAAAGGAAUUGGCGGGGGAGCACCACAACGGGUGGAGCUUGCGGUUUAAUUGGAUUCAACGCCGGAAAUCUUACCGGGACCGACAGCAACAUGAAGGCCAGGCUGAAGACUUUGCCGGAUUAGCUG